rnacentral:lncRNA from 1 species
CCUUAUACAAAUUGCACUUUAACCUCCUUCUACCUCUCAAGAAACACCUACCAAACAGACAAAGUCAGAGAUACUAACAAAAACAAAAAGUCAACAAGAGCAUAAAAAAAACAACCACAUGCAAGCCAAAGGGUCUAAACACCAAUUAGGAUAAGAGAACGACCUAUUGUGAGACUUUGAGAAAAUUCAAGACCAAACUUUGAAUUGAAGCAUCGCGAACACUUUAGACACAUCUACCUUUCCUUUUAAAAAAUGACGUUGUUCCUGUGAUUCCAAAUUUCACUCACAACUCCAACCCAAAUUGCACCCCAAAUAUCAUUAACCAACCCUGAAGCAUUGUACAUCACGGACUAAAAAAUGUUUGACACCGGCUCAAUGUGAAUCAUAAACUUCACGCCAAGCUACUCAAAGUAAUGACACCAAACAAGCCAAGCAAAUAUGCAAUUCAAAAACAUAUGACAAUGAGAUUCCUCCUCCUUCCUGCACAGACAACACCAACAGUUGUCGACCACAAUUCCUCGCCUUUCCAAGUUGACCGUGGUAGCAAUCUUAUUCUCCAACACCCUCCAAGUAGUGAAAAGUGCAGAAGGCGGAGUUUUACACCUCCACAACUUGUUGUACACAAAAGACAACUCCUCCCCGUGAUCCCGCAUUAAGAACACAUAGGCAGAAUUAACUAAAUAAGUUUGAAGCUCUCCAACCUCCCAAACCCAAUUAUUCUCUUCUUCCAACUCCAACCUCGCCCCUUGCAACACUUGACUCUCCAAAGGCUUCUCCCAUUCGAAGAAGGACCUUAGCCAGUAUAAACACCAGACCCAAACACCAUUUAUCCAAUCCCCAAGUUUGGACUCUUUGGUAAUAUAGUGUAUAGCUCAAGCGGGAGCUUAUGCUUGAGCUAGGGAGAUCCAUGACAACUUUCUCUCUCCUCUGGAAACAUAUUGUUCAAGCAUUAUAUUGGCGCUUAAGUAUUAUGUUGAAUGCUUAUGUGAGGUGAAGAGCAAUGCAC